ensembl:lncRNA
AAGAAAGGUGCACAUUUUACAUAUUAGUAUGUGGGCUAAAUAAUGGUGCUAGUAUCGUAGAAGUGUUACAUUGCAAUGUAUCAUAUAUACACUGCAGACCUUGUUAUAAAAACAAAUAACAGCCUCCAUCUCAAUCACAUACACACAAGGCCUUCAGGCAUCUCCAUUGGAUCAAUACCGAAUGAGAAUGUUGACCUUUGACCGGUAAUGAUCCGACUCACAGCAGCGGGUAACCUUUAAGCCCUGAAUUAAGACUCUGACAUCACAGUUUGAAGGAAUAGUGGCGUAUAAAUCUUUAUAAAGGACAGCCGGCGAUAACAAUCAUGAUAGAACUUGUCUAACGUGACACUUCGGGUCUCAUCUCAUCUUCCCGCCUCGCCCCCCCCCCCCCACCUAGUCAUCCGAACACCGUGGUGUUUUCUGUACGGGUCCCUAUUGUCUUCAGACGUACAGUAUAUAUGCUUCGCGGCCCACUCCGCCUCGUAAUACCCCGUCUCCGGUGAGAGCGCUGCGGCAGCACCGGAGGCUCUAUUUUAAGUGCAGGCAGAGAGCUGCACGGCUAUAUUUAAUAAAAACGUCUCUGCACCAGCCUCCAGCCUCCCUCGCCGCGUCUGCCCCCGUUUGAGAGUUGGACAGAAGACAUGUCAGUCUCUCGGCCUCCCUCUUCGCUGGGGUCUUGUUGCGGGGGGGGGGGAGGCACGGGGGAGAAAGAGGCCGAGGGGAGGUGUGAUGGUGCGUGAGGUGAAUGUGUUUUCUCAGCUUUUUCAUUUCGUCUCCGAAAUAUUUUGCCCUUUCUAUGCAAAUUCCAUCUCUCCAUUACUACCCCCCCCCCCCCCCCCCCCCCCCACACACACACACACACACUCUUUCAUCUUCCUAAGUGCCUCUCAGCGGGCGAUUCAUGUUUGUAUGCACACCUCAUGUAUUGGAAAGGAAUAACUGAUCCGUUUUCUCUAGAAAACCUCAUGAAUUAGUUGAGCUGCAUCGAUCUUUUCUCGCUUCGAUUGCCUCUCUCUCGAUCCGCAGCCACGUGGAUCCGCGGAUGUGCAGCAGUCGUCGUCCCCCAGGUAGGCGCCGAGUUCCUCACGAGCGCCGCCCUCGGCUUUUAUUUCUGUCUCACAGAGCCGCGGGUUCGCUCUGUGAGCUUCUUAUUCCACGAUCAGCGCUCCGGCCCGUGGCUGCAGGCCCCCGGGCGCGUGGAGCGCAACGUGGCGGGCUGAGGGGGCACGUGACCAAAAAGAGGCGAGCCUUGAAUGCGCUCUGCGGAUCGGCGCCGCACGACUCCCCGCUGUGCAGCUCAGGCCCGAUUACCUGCAGCUGCGCGGCGCGGUCCACCGCAUGAAAUAUCCAUGAGUUGGGUUGGGCUCGCAGAUGCUACUGUACCUGCUGAGCCCCUUAACAAGCUUGUGUGUGUGUGUGUGUGUGUGUGUGUGUGUGUUGAGGGGGAGCUGUGGGAGACAGGGGGAAGGGUGCACGUGUCGUCCUGUGCCCCUGCAGACGGAGGGUGUUUGCGUGUUUGCUGCUGUGCGUCUGCGACCUGAAUGUUCCGGCGUGCGUAAAGCGUCUCACGUACGCCGUCGGGACUUUUACGAGGUGGCGGAGCGACAUUACGGGGGAGAGAGAAUCUGGGGGGAUGGGAGGAGAGUACGGGGGGCGCACCGUCAAACCCUUUGCUUUCCACGCAUGCGUGGGUGUCUGGUAAGAAACUUAUUGCACCGAAGCUCAGAGUCAACAUGUCUCACAUAAAGCGUUGGAGGACGACGGUGGAAAACAAGUGGGAGAUGGAGGUCAGGGACAAAGAUGGAUUAGAGGGAGAAAAAGAGAGCUGGCUGAGGCAGACGAGAAGAAGGAGGCAGGAGGAGCGGCGAGGCAAAGGUGCGUGGGAAUAGGGAGGAGAGGGAGGAGCGCAGAAGGAGGGGAGGUUGAGGGGAGCGCGGCAGGUAGAGUGUACAUCUGUCACCUCCUGCUCCUCCAAGCCAGCAAUGCCCUGGAGGAAGAGGAGGAGGAGGAGGAGGGAAAAGGGGCCACGAUGGCACCAGCAAGAGGAGCGUUACACAACAGCCCUUUACACAUUCGCCUUUAUUGAGAUCUAUAUAUAAAUAUACGUGCAUGUUAAACCUCGGAGUGGAGCGUAUUCCCUUUUUUCUUGUACCUCCAAAAGGGCACGCAGAGGCAGAGGCAUUUCUCUUUGACACGCGAGUCCAUUGUCAGAGGAGCCUCGCUUCCCAAGGAAGAGAGACGAGAGCAUCCGAGGAGAGCAGGUGACACGGCGAGGAGAGAGGAGCCGCACAGGCCCCCGACUUCACAGCUCCGCCGAGGUUGACUCUGUCCCAGAAACUUAUGAAUAACAUCCCUGUGUGUCAGCUGGUCUCAAAGCGCGCGCGUGUGUGUGUAUGUGUGUGGGCGGGAAGGUGUUAGGGUGUGAAAGCAAGAGAUGAAAAAGAACUGGCUGUGAAGUUGAACUUUUCAAAGCUACACACAGCUGUACAGUAGCAGUGCAGACACACACACACACACACACACACCGAGUCACAUUCACACACACACACACUCCCAUGUGGCCAGAAGACCCUUGUGUUAAACCCCUUCAAGCAAUUAAAGCACUUCGGCGAUAUCUCCGUGUCCAAUCACGAGAUUUAAGAUUACGGCCGUGACCAAUGGGGAUGAAACACUUCAACUCUGUCACGUAUUCAAACACUCGUGUUGGCUAACAGGGCGUGAAAAACCUGGAAUCUCUGCAACAAAUCCUAAAGUAUUCAGGUAAAUAAAGCAAUCGGAAACCCUGCUGACUCGCUGAUUUAUAUAACGGUUUAAAUCCGUAAUUCAUUAAUACGCAGAAGAGGUAAAACAACAGAAGUAGCUCGAGGAUUAAAUGCAUGACUUGUUAAACUUCAUAAAGAAACACUCUGAGAAAACAAUGUUCCUCUCGCCAACUAGUGAAAUAAAACCAAAGCAGGGAAAGUAAUUAGCACGCAGCAACUGGCGCUGACGACAGGCGCCAUUAGCGGAGAGAAGCUCCCACAGUUACCAGUCUGCUUCGCCGGUUUGCCUCAAAUAAAUUAUGCGAGGACUUGAUCGCAUCAUGUUGCUUUUAUGAAGCGUUUUUUAUGACGCAGUAUAUCGUCUGGCGGCUGCAUAUCACGCUGGACGUUUACUGCGCGGGGUGUGUGUGUGUGUCAGCCACGUGGGUU